GGUCGAUUAGCUCAGUUGGUUAGAGCGCCGUACUAAUAGGCCCCGUGGGGACCCGAAGACGAUCCCGCUACGUAGCGUGCGGAGAGAACGAAUAGGGCCCCUGCAGAGUAAGGUUCAUGCGGAUGUCAUGGGUUCGACCCCCAUAUUGACCA
rfam:Puccinia triticina 1-1 BBBD Race 1 supercont2.108, whole genome shotgun sequence.